rnacentral:tRNA from 1 species
GCCUCGGUGGCUUAGGGGUAUAGCGCGUCCUUGGUAAGGACGAGGUCGAGGGUUCAAAUCCCUCCCGUGGCU